CCUACGGGAGGCAGCAGUGAGGAAUAUUGGUCAAUGGACGAGAGUCUGAACCAGCCAAGCAGCGUGAAGGAUGACUGCCCUAUGGGUUGUAAACUUCUUUUAUAUGGGAAUAAAAUGAUCCUCGUGUGGGUUUUUGUAUGUACCAUAUGAAUAAGGAUCGGCUAACUCCGAGCCAGCAGCCGCGGUAAUACGGAGGAUCCGAGCGUUAUCCGGAUUUAUUGGGUUUAAAGGGAGCGUAGGUGGAUUGUUAAGUCAGUUGUGAAAGUUUGCGGCUCAACCGUAAAAUUGCAGUUGAAACUGGCAGUCUUGAGUACAGUAGAGGUGGGCGGAAUUCGUGGUGUAGCGGUGAAAUGCUUAGAUAUCACGAAGAACUCCGAUUGCGAAGGCAGCUCACUGGACUGCAACUGACACUGAGGCUCGAAAGUGUGGGUAUCAAACAGGAUUAGAUACCCGAGUAGUC
rnacentral:rRNA from 1 species